rnacentral:rRNA from 1 species
AGCAGCCGCAGUAAUUCCAGCUCCAAUAGCGUAUAUUAAAGUUGUUGCAGUUAAAAAGCUCGUAGUUGAAUUUCGGGGUUCCACCGUUGGUCGGGCUAUUGUCUGUACUGGCGUGUGGAAUUUCUACCUUCUGGGGAACUAUCAUGUUAUUAAUUUAGCGUGGUAGGAAACCAGGACCUUUACCUUGAAAAAAUUAGAGUGUUCAAAACAGGCUUAUGUCUGAAUACAUUAGCAUGGAAUAAUAAAAUAGGACGGUGGUCCUGUUUUGUUGGUUUCUGAAUCACCGUAAUGAUUAAUAGGGAUAGUUGGGGGCAUUAGUAUUCAAUUGUCAGAGGUGAAAUUCUUGGAUUUAU